rnacentral:rRNA from 1 species
UACAGAGGUCCCAAGCGUUGUUCGGAUUCACUGGGCGUAAAGGGUGCGCAGGCGGUUGGGUGUGUCAGAUGUGAAAUCCCGAGGCUCAACCUCGGAACUGCGUCUGAAACUACUCGACUAGAGUACUGGAGAGGGUAACGGAAUUCACAGUGGAGCAGUGAAAUGCGUAGAUAUUGUGAGGAACACUAGUGGCGAAGGCGAAUCUCUGGACAGUUCCUGACGCUGAGGCACGAAGGCCAGGGAGCAAACGGG